rnacentral:rRNA from 1 species
GACGAACGCUGGCGGCGUGCUUAACACAUGCAAGUCGAACGGAAAGGCCCUGCUUUUGUGGGGUGCUCGAGUGGCGAACGGGUGAGUAACACGUGAGUAACCUGCCCUUGACUUUGGGAUAACUUCAGGAAACUGGGGCUAAUACCGGAUAGGAGCUCCUGCUGCAUGGUGGGGGUUGGAAAGUUUCGGCGGUUGGGGAUGGACUCGCGGCUUAUCAGCUUGUUGGUGGGGUAGUGGCUUACCAAGGCUUUGACGGGUAGCCGGCCUGAGAGGGUGACCGGGCACAAUGGGACGGGGAGUAGGCCCCGACUCCUACCGGAGGCAGGAGUGGGGAAUAUUGCACAAUGGGCGGAAGCCUGAUGCAGCAACGCCGCGUGCGGGAUGACGGCCUUCGGGUUGUAAACCGCUUUCGCCUGUGACGAAGCGUGAGUGACGGUAAUGGGUAAAGAAGCACCGGCUAACUACGUG